UUGAACGCUGGCGGCAGGCCUAACACAUGCAAGUCGAGCGGUAACACAGAGAGCUUGCUCUCGGGUGACGAGCGGCGGACGGGUGAGUAAUGUCUGGGAAACUGCCUGAUGGAGGGGGAUAACUACUGGAAACGGUAGCUAAUACCGCAUAACGUCGCAAGACCAAAGUGGGGGACCUUCGGGCCUCAUGCCAUCAGAUGUGCCCAGAUGGGAUUAGCUAGUAGGUGGGGUAACGGCUCACCUAGGCGACGAUCCCUAGCUGGUCUGAGAGGAUGACCAGCCACACUGGAACUGAGACACGGUCCAGACUCCUACGGGAGGCAGCAGUGGGGAAUAUUGCACAAUGGGCGCAAGCCUGAUGCAGCCAUGCCGCGUGUGUGAAGAAGGCCUUCGGGUUGUAAAGCACUUUCAGCGGGGAGGAAGGCGGUGAGGUUAAUAACCUCAUCGAUUGACGUUACCCGCAGAAGAAGCACCGGCUAACUCCGUGCCAGCAGCCGCGGUAAUACGGAGGGUGCAAGCGUUAAUCGGAAUUACUGGGCGUAAAGCGCACGCAGGCGGUCUGUCAAGUCGGAUGUGAAAUCCCCGGGCUCAACCUGGGAACUGCAUUCGAAACUGGCAGGCUAGAGUCUUGUAGAGGGGGGUAGAAUUCCAGGUGUAGCGGUGAAAUGCGUAGAGAUCUGGAGGAAUACCGGUGGCGAAGGCGGCCCCCUGGACAAAGACUGACGCUCAGGUGCGAAAGCGUGGGGAGCAAACAGGAUUAGAUACCCUGGUAGUCCACGCCGUAAACGAUGUCGAUUUGGAGGUUGUGCCCUUGAGGCGUGGCUUCCGGAGCUAACGCGUUAAAUCGACCGCCUGGGGAGUACGGCCGCAAGGUUAAAACUCAAAUGAAUUGACGGGGGCCCGCACAAGCGGUGGAGCAUGUGGUUUAAUUCGAUGCAACGCGAAGAACCUUACCUGGUCUUGACAUCCACAGAACUUUCCAGAGAUGGAUUGGUGCCUUCGGGAACUGUGAGACAGGUGCUGCAUGGCUGUCGUCAGCUCGUGUUGUGAAAUGUUGGGUUAAGUCCCGCAACGAGCGCAACCCUUAUCCUUUGUUGCCAGCGGUUCGGCCGGGAACUCAAAGGAGACUGCCAGUGAUAAACUGGUGUAAGAUGGUGAUGACAACAAGUCAUCAUGGCCCUUACGACCAGGGCUACACACGUGCUACAAUGGCAUAUACAAAGAGAAGCGACCUCGCGAGAGCAAGCGGACCUCAUAAAGUAUGUCGUAGUCCGGAUUGGAGUCUGCAACUCGACUCCAUGAAGUCGGAAUCGCUAGUAAUCGUAGAUCAGAAUGCUACGGUGAAUACGUUCCCGGGCCUUGUACACACCGCCCGUCACACCAUGGGAGUGGGUUGCAAAAGAAGUAGGUAGCUUAACCUUCGGGAGGGCGCUUACCACUUUGUGAUUCAUGACUGGGGUG
rnacentral:rRNA from 1 species